rnacentral:rRNA from 1 species
UACGGGAGGCAGCAGGGGGAAUAUUGCACAAUGGGCGCAAGCCUGAUGCAGCCAUGCCGCGUGUAUGAAAAAGGCCUUCGGGUUGUAAAGUACUUUCAGUCGUGAGGAAGGUGUUAAGGUUAAUAACCUUAGCAAUUGACGUUAGCGACAGAAGAAGCACCGGCUAACUCCGUGCCAGCAGCCGCGGUAAUACGGAGGGUGCGAGCGUUAAUCGGAAUUACUGGGCGUAAAGGGCACGCAGGCGGUUAAUUAAGUUGGAUGUGAAAUCCCCGGGCUUAACCUGGGAAUGGCAUUCAAGACUGGUUAGCUAGAGUCUUGUAGAGGGGGUAGAAUUCCAUGUGUAGCGGUGAAAUGCGUAGAGAUGUGGAGGAAUACCGGUGGCGAAAGGCGGCCCCUGGACAAAGACUGACGCUCAUGUGCGAAAGCGUGGGGAGCAAACAGGGAUUAGAUACC